GUAGGGUGGGCAAGCGUUGUCCGGAAUUAUUGGGGCGUAAAGCGCGCGCAGGCGGUCCUUUAAGUCUGAUGUGAAAGCCCACGGCUCAACCGUGGAGGGUCAUUGGAAACUGGGGGACUUGAGUACAGAAGAGGAAAGCGGAAUUCCAAGUGUAGCGGUGAAAUGCGUAGAGAUUUGGAGGAACACCAGUGGCGAAGGCGGCUUUCUGGUCUGUAACUGACGCCGAGGCGCGAAAGCGUGGGGAGCAAACAGGAUUAGAUACCCUGGUAGUCCACGCCGUAAACGAUGAGUGCUAAGUGUUAGGGGGUUUCCGCCCCUUAGUGCUGCAGCUAACGCAUUAAGCACUCCGCCUGGGGAGUACGGCCGCAAAGGCUG
rnacentral:rRNA from 1 species